rnacentral:snRNA from 14 species
UUACUUACCUGGCAGGGGAGAUACCUUUCUUCUUGGCCUCGAAUGACUUGGUGUAGUUCGAAGGUGUGUGCUGCAGGCAGGCUGAUCCCUGCAAGUCUCCAAAUGACUCCAAAUGUGGGGAUCUUGGCUCCACAGUUUAUGGUGAGGGGGGAAUUGCUCUUGGGCUUUCCCACU